GAAGUGGAAGUUCAUCAGACUUUUAAGACGCUCCAUGGGUAGGCUAGGAAUUUCACCCAUGAACCCUAAUAUCCGAUUAUAUAGCAUGCAAAUGAAUCGUCUUGCAAUUGCAAUUGAGACGUGAAGAUCGAAAGAUUGAAUGCGAAUAAUGGUGGGAGUCUCCAGGUUGCAGAUGAAGCAUCGUAUGUUUCAAUUUCAUCUCAAGUUCAUCAUGGUUAAACACACAAGACACAUCUCACCAAUUUUGAAUGCCGGAGCAACACAAAGUUUCGACAACAACACUGAUUUAGACUCUUAUUUGUUUGAUUUCUUCAAUUUCAUCUCAUCAAUCCGACCACCUGCUUAGGUUUUCCUCAAAAGUACAUCAUGGCGAUGGAAUCAGGCAAAAGCAGGUGUCAAGUUUCAGACUCCGGCAUCGAACUCAACGUUGAACAUGGGAGUUGAUCCUGUUUUAGCUGGGUUUCGCUUGACAAAGAAUUCGUUGUUUGUUCAUUGGAUCUUCUUUCUGGACUGACUGAAGGUUAUGGUAGCGGAAUAGAGAGUCUGGUAUUCACUUUUUAUUAUCUAUUAUCCCCAUUUACUAUCUAAAACAAUUAAUUCGAAGUGGUUAAAUAAGUUUAAUGAUUGGUGCGAUACAAGGGUCGAUGAAGAUAUUUUUGAGAGAAUAAUUGGUGCUUUAUAUAUAUAUAUAUACAAUAUUUGCUUAAUGACCUGAAGGAUCAGAAUAGACAUGAAGGCGUAAGUGUCAAAUUGGUUGAUAAUCUACAUAACAAGACCUUUAUCUGAUGCUGACCGGGUGAAGGUUAGCCUUUUAUCAACUGUAAACGAGCUGAACCGAGACCGAGGUCGCCUAAGCUCGAGUUUGGCUAUUUUUUAUAUAUUGAUCAUUUUUUUAAUUUAUUUAUAUACAUUUAAAAUUACUAUUACUAUUUUGAUACAUUAUGUAUAUUUCAUUGAUGCGUUGGUGACCGAACAGGAUUUGAACUCUCAGAUCGGCGCGACUCUCUGUUUAGCUGCGGCUUCGAUGGCGCGCCGGAUCCCGAUCCGGUUUAUUUGAGGAUGGUGGUGAGGACUGAGGAUUGAGAAGUUGUUGAAGGUUGACGAUUUUAAGGCGAAAGCUGCUUUGUUGACGGUUUUAGGUAGUGUGAUUGGUGUCGGUGGUGUUCUUUCGAGUUCGGUUAUUGUGAAGAGUUUGGUGAGUGUUUUGGUUGGGUUUGUGGUGAAGAGUGAGGAUUGGAGUGUGAGGAAAGCGGCCGCUGAGGCGUUAGAGAAGUUGGCGGUUGUAGAGAGGGAUUUGUUGUUGGAGUUUAGGAGUGAAGGUUUGAUAACAUCUGAGGCGAAAAAGUUUGGUGCAAGUCAAUUAUUAUUAACAAUUUGUUUGUCAAUAUUGCAGGUCAAUGCUUUGGAGGUCAUUUUCUAGCUUGUACACUAUACUCGAUAAUACAUAACUGAAGCGGGCCUCAAAGACGAUGUCUUCAUCAUUUGUGGGUUCGCUAAAGCGAUUUGGGGUAGGUGUAAUGGAAGAGGCCCCCACUAUAGUCUGCAGGCCCAUCAUCUCUCAUAUCCCUUGCAUCAACACAAGAGACUACUACGGGUGACAGAGCUACUCUUGGUCGUAUUAGUAAUGUUACUGAAGUGCCUGUCAAUCAUAGGGGCGAAAUCAGUGGUGGAUCUUCUUGCACCUUGAGGAGGAAAUAUUGGUUUUUUUAGUGGUCCUGGUGUCGAAAAAACUAUUAUUAUCGUGGAGCUUAUUAACAGUGUUUCCAAGGCCCAUGGUACACGUUUUAUCACCAUAAUUUGCUUGGUGGUUUCUCAGUAGUAUUUGCUGGAGUUGGAUAAUGAACCCAUGAGGGUAAUCAAUUCUACAAAGAAAUGUUGGAGAAUGGUGUCAAUAAGCUAGGUGACAAGCAGGUAUGUGUAGUAGAGGCUUAUGUUAUAUGUAAUGUGUUGACUACUUUUGGCUAUUUAUCUAAUAGUUGUACCUUAUUGUUUGGAGGUGAA